AUACGUAUGUCGCAAGCGUUAUCCAGAUUUAUUGGGCGUAAAGCGCGUCUAGGCGGCUUAGUAAGUCUGAUGUGAAAAUGCGGGGCUCAACCCCGUAUUGCGUUGGUAACUGCUAAACUAGAGUACUGGAGAGGGAGGCGGAACUACUAGGGUUGGGGGUAAAUUCGUAGAUAUUUGCAGGAAAGACGAGGGGGAAGCCCGCCUUCUGGACAGAUACUGACGCUAAAGCGAUAAAGCGUGGGUAGCAAACAGGAUUAGAUCCCCUGGUAGUCCACGCCGUAAACGAUGAUUACUAGGUGUUGGGGGUCGAACCUCAGCGCCCAAGCUAACGCGAUAAGUAAUCCGCCUGGGGAGUACGUACGCAAGUAUGAAACUCAAAUGAAUUGGCGGGG
rnacentral:rRNA from 1 species